rnacentral:rRNA from 1 species
GAUCCUGGCUCAGGAUGAACGCUAGCUACAGGCUUAACACAUGCAAGUCGAGGGGCAGCAUCAUCAAAGCUUGCUUUGAUGGAUGGCGACCGGCGCACGGGUGAGUAACACGUAUCCAACCUGCCGACAACACUGGGAUAGCCUUUCGAAAGAAAGAUUAAUACCGGAUGGUAUAGUUUUCCCGCAUGGGAUGAUUAUUAAAGAAUUUCGGUUGUCGAUGGGGAUGCGUUCCAUUAGG